GAUGAAGAACGUAGCGAAAUGCGAUACGUAGUGUGAAUUGCAGAAUUCAGUGAAUCAUCGAAUCUUUGAACGCACAUUGCACCUCUCGGUAUUCCGGGAGGUAUGCCUGUUCGAGCGUCAUUUGUACCCUCAAGCUCUGCUUGGUGUUGGGUGUUUGUUCCGCCUCUGUGUGUGAACUCGCCUCAAAACAAUUGGCAGCCGGCGUACUUGUUUCGGAGCGCAGAACAUUUUGCGAUCCAGAUCAACGUACAGCGGCAUCCAAGAAGCCUUAUUUAACGCUCUUGACCUCGGAUCAGGUAGGGAUACCCGCUGAACUUAAGCAUAUCAAUAAGCGGAGGA
rnacentral:misc_RNA from 1 species